GAUCUAGAUGUGAGUGUUUCAAAAAAGGGUGGGCCCUACAUGGAAAAUGUACUAGUUCUACACUGUAACACUAGAUCUAGAUGUGAGUGUUUCAAAAUAGGCUGGGCCCUACUUGGAAAAUGUACUAGUACUACACUGUAACACUAGAUCUAGAUGUGACUGUUUCUAAAUAGGCUGGGCCCUACUUGGAAAAUGUACUAGU